UACGUAGGGGGCUAGCGUUGUCCGGAUUUAUUGGGCGUAAAGAGCGUGUAGGCGGCCAGGUAGGUCUGCUGUGAAAACUCGAGGCUCAACCUCGAGACGUCGAGUGAAACCAUCUGAGCUAGAGUCCGGAAGAGGAGAGUGGAAUUCCUGGUGUAGCGGUGAAAUGCGCAGAUAUCAGGAAGAACACCCGUGGCGAAGGCGGCUCUCUGGUACGUGACUGACGCUGAGACGCGAAAGCGUGGGAGCGAACAGG
rnacentral:rRNA from 1 species